GCGCGCUUAGCUCAGCGGUAGAGCGCCUGUUUUACAUACAGGAUGUCGGCCGUUCGAUCCGGUCAGCGUGCACCA
rnacentral:tRNA from 1 species